rnacentral:rRNA from 1 species
UACGUAGGGUGCAAGCGUUGUCCGGAAUUAUUGGGCGUAAAGAGCUCGUAGGCGGUCUGUUGCGUCGGCUGUGAAAACCCGAGGCUCAACCUCGGGCCUGCAGCCGAUACGGGCAGACUAGAGUUCGGCAGGGGAGACUGGAAUUCCUGGUGUAGCGGUGAAAUGCGCAGAUAUCAGGAGGAACACCGGUGGCGAAGGCGGGUCUCUGGGCCGAUACUGACGCUGAGACGCGAAAGCGUGGGGAGCGAACAGG